CGCGUAGGAAUCUACCCAGUAGUGGGGGACAACUUGGGGAAACCCAAGCUAAUACCGCAUACGCCCUACGGGGAAAAGCGGGGGACCGUUCGGGCCGUCGUGCUAUUGGAUGAGCCUGCGUCGGAUUAGCUAGUUGGUGGGGUAAGAGCUCACCAAGGCGACGAUCCGUAGCUGGUCUGAGAGGAUGAUCAGCCACACUGGAACUGAGACACGGUCCAGACUCCUACGGGAGGCAGCAGUGGGGAAUAUUGCGCAAUGGGCGAAAGCCUGACGGAGCAACGCCGCGUGAGGGAUGAAGGC
rnacentral:rRNA from 1 species